rnacentral:rRNA from 1 species
AAAGCCCGCUCGCCGGAAGACCAAGGGUUCCUGUCCAACGUUAAUCGGGGCAGGGUGAGUCGACCCCUAAGGCGAGGCCGAAAGGCGUAGUCGAUGGGAAACAGGUUAAUAUUCCUGUACUUGGUGUUACUGCGAAGGGGGGACGGAGAAGGCUAUGUUGGCCGGGCGACGGUUGUCCCGGUUUAAGCGUGUAGGCUGGUUUUCCAGGCAAAUCCGGAAAAUCAAGGCUGAGGCGUGAUGACGAGGCACUACGGUGCUGAAGCAACAAAUGCCCUGCUUCCAGGAAAAGCCUCUAAGCAUCAGGUAACAUCAAAUCGUACCCCAAACCGACACAGGUGGUCAGGUAGAGAAUACCAAGGCGCUUGAGAGAACUCGGGUGAAGGAACUAGGCAAAAUGGUGCCGUAACUUCGGGAGAAGGCACGCUGAUAUGUAGGUGAAGUCCCUUGCGGAUGGAGCUGAAAUCAGUCGAAGAUACCAGCUGGCUGCAACUGUUUAUUAAAAACACAGCACUGUGCAAACACGAAAGUGGACGUAUACGGUGUGACGCCUGCCCGGUGCCGGAAGGUUAAUUGAUGGGGUCAGCGCAAGCGAAGCUCUUGAUCGAAGCCCCGGUAAACGGCGGCCGUAACUAUAACGGUCCUAAGGUAGCGAAAUUCCUUGUCGGGUAAGUUCCGACCUGCACGAAUGGCGUAAUGAUGGCCAGGCUGUCUCCACCCGAGACUCAGUGAAAUUGAACUCGCUGUGAAGAUGCAGUGUACCCGCGGCAAGACGGAAAGACCCCGUGAACCUUUACUAUAGCUUGACACUGAACAUUGAGCCUUGAUGUGUAGGAUAGGUGGGAGGCUUUGAAGUGUGGACGCCAGUCUGCAUGGAGCCGGCCUUGAAAUACCACCCUUUAAUGUUUGAUGUUCUAACGUGGACCCGUGAUCCGGGUUGCGGACAGUGUCUGGUGGGUAGUUUGACUGGGGCGGUCUCCUCCUAAAGAGUAACGGAGGAGCACGAAGGUUGGCUAAUCCUGGUCGGACAUCAGGAGGUUAGUGCAAUGGCAUAAGCCAGCUUGACUGCGAGCGUGACGGCGCGAGCAGGUGCGAAAGCAGGUCAUAGUGAUCCGGUGGUUCUGAAUGGAAGGGCCAUCGCUCAACGGAUAAAAGGUACUCCGGGGAUAACAGGCUGAUACCGCCCAAGAGUUCAUAUCGACGGCGGUGUUUGGCACCUCGAUGUCGGCUCAUCACAUCCUGGGGCUGAAGUAGGUCCCAAGGGUAUGGCUGUUCGCCAUUUAAAGUGGUACGCGAGCUGGGUUUAGAACGUCGUGAGACAGUUCGGUCCCUAUCUGCCGUGGGCGCUGGAGAACUGAGGGGGGCUGCUCCUAGUACGAGAGGACCGGAGUGGACGCAUCACUGGUGUUCGGGUUGUCAUGCCAAUGGCACUGCCCGGUAGCUAAAUGCGGAAGAGAUAAGUGCUGAAAGCAUCUAAGCACGAAACUUGCCCCGAGAUGAGUUCUCCCUGACCCUUUAAGGGUCCUGAAGGAACGUUGAAGACGACGACGUUGAUAGGCCGGGUGUGUAAGCGCAGCGAUGCGUUGAGCUAACCGGUACUAAUGAACCGUGAGG